UACGUAGGGGCAAGCGUUGUCCGGAUUUACUGGCGUAAAGCGCGUGUAGGCGGAAGCGCAGUCCGGUGUGAAAGCCCCGGCUCGACCGGGAAGGUCGCUGGAACUGACGCUCUUGAGGACGACAGAGGGAAGUGGAAUUGCUGGUGUAGCGGUGAAUGCGUAGAGAAUCAUGAGGAAGACCAGUGGCGAAGCGGGUCUCU
rnacentral:rRNA from 1 species